rnacentral:rRNA from 1 species
AUGAGGCUUGUGCCUUUGUUAACUGGCUGGAUGAAGAAUGGCAUGGCAGGGCUCAGAGUGUUAUCACCAAGCUCGCAGAAGGUAACUUUCCUCUCUCUACUUAUCCCGCUUAAGUGUACACCAUCUUCAUCGUCCCCGGUAGGCCGCGCUACACACUUGCACACACUCUGCAAUCUCGCUUUCUCGCGGUUUUUAUACGACCACAGCCACGUCGAGCGACAACGAGGACGACAGACAUCGAUUAUAUCCGGAUCAUGGAAGGUACACCGCCUCCGGAGUUAA